rnacentral:rRNA from 1 species
UAACAAGGAUUCCCCUAGUAACUGCGAGUGAAGCGGGAAAAGCUCAAAUUUAAAAUCUGACAGUUUCACUGUCCGAGUUGUAAUCUGGAGAAGCAUUUUCCGUGUCGGACCGUGUACAAGUCUCUUGGAAUAGAGCRUCAUAGAGGGUGAGAAUCCCGUCCAUGACACGGACUACCGAUGCUUUGUGAUAUGCUCUCGAAGAGUCGAGUUGUUUGGGAAUGCAGCUCAAAAUGGGUGGUAAAUUCCAUCUAAAGCUAAAUAUUGGCGAGAGACCGAUAGCGAACAAGUACCGUGAGGGAAAGAUGAAAAGCACUUUGGAAAGAGAGUUAAACAGUACGUGAAAUUGUUGAAAGGGAAACGCUUGAAGUCAGUCGCGUUGAUUGAGACUCAGCCUUGCUUUGCAUGGUGUACUUCUCAGUUAACGGGUCAACAUCAAUUUCAGUUGGUGGAUAAAGGCAUUGGGAAUGUGGCACCUUCGGGUGUGUUAUAGACCUUUGUUGCAUACACUGACCGGGAUUGAGGAACGCAGCACGCCACUAAGGCCAGGGAUUCGUCCCAUGUAACGUGCUUAGGAUGUUGGCAUAAUGGCUUUAAGCGACCCGUCUUGAAACACGGACCAAGGAGUCUAACAUGCCUGCGAGUAUUAGGGUGGAAAACCCUUGUGCGUAAUGAAAGUGAAAGUUGGGACCUCUUGCGAGGGCACCGACGCCCGGCCCUGAAGUUUACUGACGGCGCUGCGGUAGAGCAUGUAUGUUGGGACCCGAAAGAUGGUGAACUAUGCCUGAAUAGGGUGAAGCCAGGGGAAACUCUGGUGGAGGCUCGUAGCGAUUCUGACGUGCAAAUCGAUCGUCAAAUUUGGG